rnacentral:rRNA from 1 species
GGCGGCAGGCCUAACACAUGCAAGUCGAGCGCCGUAGCAAUACGGAGCGGCAGACGGGAGAGUAACACGUGGGAACGUGCCCUUCAGUUCGGAACAACCCAGGGAAACUUGGGCUAAUACCGGAUACGUCCGUAAGGAGAAAGAUUUAUCGCUGAAGGAUCGGCCCGCGUCUGAUUAGCUAGUUGGUGGGGUAAUGGCCCACCAAGGCGACGAUCAGUAGCUGGUCUGAGAGGAUGAUCAGCCUCACUGGGACUGAGACACGGCCCAGACUCCUACGGGAGGCAGCAGUGGGGAAUAUUGGACAAUGGGCGCAAGCCUGAUCCAGCCAUGCCGCGUGGGUGAUGAAGGCCCUAGGGUUGUAAAGCCCUUUCGGCGGGGAAGAUAAUGACGGUACCCGCAGAAGAAGCCCCGGCUAACUUCGUGCCAGCAGCCGCGGUAAUACGAAGGGGGCUAGCGUUGCUCGGAAUCACUGGGCGUAAAGCGCACGUAGGCGGCUUUUUAAGUCAGGGGUGAAAUCCUGGA